ensembl:lincRNA A230001M10Rik RIKEN cDNA A230001M10 gene
AGAUAUACUCACGGAGGGCUGCUGUCACCUGUCAUCACUGCUGGACAGAUGAUUUCAACACAGACAUUACAAGUGGUCCAGCCUCUUCAUAAGCCUGCACUAAAGACACUGAAGCUUGUGAUCACCCGUGUCAGGACAAGGAAUGGCAUCUCCCUAACAGGACUCAAGAGCCUUUGCCAUUAUCUGUGGUAUUAAGCAGGUUUCAAUUAGGAUUUUAGGUGGAUUUUUUUCUUUGUUCCGCAGAAGUUUUAAUCAAGGCAGAAAAACUCUGACGCCUCAUUCUCCUCACAACAGUCAGUCACCAAAGCGUUGCAUUUUUCUUCCUGAAGCUUCCCCUCCCUCGGGCACAUUUUUAGCAAAAAAGAUGAGAUCCCAAGCUCUCCAGAUGUUGCCUCUCAGAUGUGCCUCAGCACGCAUCUCAGAGCCAUCUGGCCGCAGCAACAGCUGGACUGCUUCCAAGUGGAAGUGCUCACAGAACAACCAUGCGUCAGGCACUGGCUACACGGACUGAGAAGCUGAAAACUGAUCAGAGUCAAGCUGAGCCUAUUGACCGCUUUCCAUGUCCACAGAGAUAAACACGAACAAACCUAAGAUAAAACCCCACUGAGUGCACUUCCCUGGGACCAUUUCGAGAGCUUCCGACCUCUGGGAACACAUAUGUGAGCCAGCAGGAUGGCCACAUCACCCACAGGGCAGUGUAGAGGUGGAUGCCAAACGCAGAGAAACUGAGUCAUAAAUGCCUGUAACUCUUCCUGUGGGUGUGAGGAACCUGUCUCUCAAUCCAGCUUGAAUGGGAUUUGUUUCUGCAACUGGAAUAAUCUUAAAUUAUCCAUUCUGACACCAGAGACUCAGCACUUUCAGGCAAGGCUCCAUGUGCAUAUAUUCUGGGCUGGGGAGAUGGAACCCAUUUGAGAAGAAACUAUUUCAGCAUCACAGAAAGCAAAGACAAUGAUGAUUAGCAACACCUUUUCCUCCUGACUGAACUGCGGGCAAGCCAUUUCCCACCCUGGCCUGCCCUUCAGAGAGAAAACCAGCCGAAUACGGUGGGGUGAAUCCGCAGUCCCAGUUAUUGAAAGUCUGAGGCAGGAGGAUCAUGAUUUCAUGGCCAACUUGGGCUCUAAAGGAAGAGAAGAAACCCAAGUUGGCACGUAGCCUACAGAGCUGGUCUCAGUGGACGCAUCUCAGUUCUAUCUUCUAGCCUAGACGGAUGAGCAGACAUGACUCAAAAUAUCUUUAAAGCAUUGUUUGAAAUCUUGUUAAUAUAAUUCUUCUCACAUCAUGCAUACAAAAUAAAUUUCUUUGCACAC